CCUACGGGUGGCAGCAGUGAGGAAUAUUGGUCAAUGGCCGGAAGGCUGAACCAGCCAAGCCGCGUGAAGGACGAAGGUGCCAAGCAUUGUAAACUUCUUUUGUCAAGGGACAAAAUCAGGCUCGAGAGCCUGACCGAGGGUACUUGAAGAAAAAGCAUCGGCUAACUCCGUGCCAGCCGCCGCGGUAAUACGGAGGAUGCGAGCGUUAUCCGGAUUUAUGGGGUUGAAAGGGUGCGUAGGCGGACUGUUAAGUUAGCGGUAAAAGCCCGGGGCUCAACCCCGGCGAGCCGUUGAAACUGGCUGUCUUGAGAUGUCGAGAGGUAUGCGGAAUGCGCAGUGUAGCGGUGAAAUGCUUAGAUAGUGCGCAGAACUCCGAUUGCGAAGGCAGCAUACCGGCGGCGAUCUGACGCUGAGGCACGAAAGCGUGGGUAUCGAACAGGAUUAGAUACCCCUGUAGUC
rnacentral:rRNA from 1 species